AGUGACUGUUGCCUCUGCACAUGCCACUGAUUAAACUUAUUUGCUCUGACUUUGCAUUCUCAAAUUGCCAACAAGUGCAGAUGAAAACUCUUGUUAUCUGAGAAAUAAGCUGUAAGAAACCCACUGCCAGACAUAUGCAUGUGAAAGAAGAUGAAUAACUGAACUGAGAUGCAAAUAUGCCUUAUUUGUAUGUGCAAGAUAAAGUUGUUUGCUGUACAGAAAAGUAAGUGACUUCUUAAGAAUGAAAUGACGUAGAAUAUGGCAAAGGCUUGCAGAACUGCUUUUGAAAUAUAUUAGUCCUUUUAGGGGGACUUUGAACUGUAAAUUAAAGAAAACAAGAAUCAGCAAUCCGAACAUUUGGGUCUUUUGAGGAUAUGGAUGUCUUGCUAAACAAGGACAAAGUCUGAAACAGUGAGGAAUGCAGUAGAAGCUUUCUGGUUUCAAUAAAUGUAGGGACUGAUGAGAAGAUGGGUGAAUAUUAAGUGCCAAGCUGUCUGGUGCCCUGUGAGGAAGAAAUUAGAAGGCAAAUCAUUGCAUCUAGGAAGGCUGCAGAUGAGAUGCACUCAGGAGCUGUGUUGGUAUGGUGACACCCUUUGUUCCUUUGAAUGCUGAGAGUAUUUCUGCGCAGGGGUUUCUCACUCUGGAAAGUGCUGCCUAUGGACCUGGCUGUCUCUUGAAAGAGGUAUACUGCAAUCAGUAUUGACUAAAUGGAGGUGCAAGACACCAUCCAGAAGCUGUGCUCUUGAUCAGAGGAGAGCAGGAGUUAAAAAGGCACACGUAUUUCUCUGGAUGGUUUUUGUAAAGCACUUGUUGGCUGUGCGAAUACAGGAAACUCGAGGCUGUAACCUUUGGCUGAGGAACAAAUCUUUUCAUAACACCAAGCCUCAAACAUUCACUGACAUGGGUAGAAAAGUAUUAUGCUGUUUGUGAUAAGGUUUAGUUCAGCAUGCUUUUAACCUACUAAAGCAAACUUUUGAGCAUACAGUGAUCAGCACAGAAGGACAUACUGGUUCUAAGGAUUUUGGAAUGACAGCAUUUAACUCUGCAGUUCAGCAGUGACUCAGAAUCUGCAGUUUAUGUAAAGCGCCUUGUCACAGUGAGCUGCUGGGAGCCUUGGGAGGAUGACUUUUGGUGGAGGAACUCACCUGUUUGUGCUUCCAAUGCGUCCACAUGCCUCUCCAGUGAGUGCAGAUCCAUCCUGAAAGUGUGCAGCAAUACAAAUCAGAUAGGUUAGUAUCAGCUUUCUGUUGAAUUCUCUUCUCCCCUUUAAAUUACAGUGAGGUACCUUAGAAAGGAGACUGUGUCUAAGCCCUCCAGUGACACACUUUUAUUUACAAGCUGUAUACUGGAUAAAGAGAAGGCACUUUUUCAGGGACUGUGACACAAGUACUACAAAUUUUCUGUGUAUUCUGAUACUUCAGCAAGGCCUGUCACAGCUGUUGUAUUGCCCAUGUAAUAUCAAGUAGAAAAGUAAUUAGCAAACUUAAUUGACUACUCUUUUCAUCACAGAUACAUAGAUACUUAAAAUCUUGUUCUGCAAAGAUGACUGAUUUCAUUGUCUAUUGAAUCUUUGUGACUAAAUGGUCAUUCAAGCUUCUGUGGAGAAGCAGAGACAUAACAGGCAAAUAUACCUGAAAUCUGUAGAAUAAAUUGAACUUUAUGCUCACUUACCAGAAAGAAGUCAGAACAAUCAUUUAAGAAGAGAACAGGAAUUUGCAAUUUGUGACUUUAAUUCAAAGAAAAUAUUUGAGAGGCAAAGGAAGAAAAACAAUCCAGAUGACAUUUAAAAUAUUAUUUUUCUAUAUACAGCUAUAUAUUUUUUCUAUUUUAUCUUCCAAAAGUCAAAACUCCUGCCUUACAGUCAGGUCCUGGUAUGACAGAGAGGUUUUUAGCCAAGAAAUUCUUAAGUUCAGACUUCAGAGCUGACUUUUUACGAGAUUUUUGGGCAGUGAAACUUCAGGAAGAAGAACAGAUGUAUUUGGGCAAAGUGAAGCCAAUAAAUGUGGUCUAAUUAACAGCACUUUCUUGAUUGCUUUUACCUGCUUCUUGUCAUAGUCUUUAAGAUUUAUAGAUCUGUCUGGCUGUGAAGAUAAAGUGCAGUGGGAGAGCAGCUGAAAGCUAAAAGUAAAUCAUGACACAGUCAGUGUCAUCAAGGAGUUUAUUCAAUGUGAGUGUGUUUUCCCAGUAAAAACAAUUCCUAAUGUAUUCUUCUGCAAAUUGGUCUAAGAAAGAGUGCCAGGAUUGAGUAUGCUCAGGUGAUGAGAUUUAACAAAGGAUAUUAAACUAAUGUUUGAAGGGACAGCUCACUUGCUCUGAAUUGCAGUAAAAAAUGUCCAGUGUUUUUCAAAAUUCUUCUGGACAUGUACCUAGUUCAAGUCAUUGGUAGGUAAUGCUAGCCUGUAGAGUGUCAUUUUGUUUCUAUAUUAAGAAUCUCAGGUCCUGUAGGAAUCUUAUUCACUAUUUUCUUUCUUCUGUUGUGCAGGGGUCCAGCUAAAUAGUUGCAAUAAAUCCUAACUCCUGAUUUGAGAUCAAAACAGCAUUCUUGAUAGAUUUUGUCUUAUCUUAGUAAUUGAGGAAGUAGUUAAUUAGUCUGCGGAAAUCAGUGGCAAGCAUUUUGCUGUUCCAAAAUGGAGGAAAAUGGUGUGUGCUUCUGUAAGUUGGGGAGAGGGACAUUGGUAAUGAGAAAGUGAAAUCUAAGAAGUGUUGGGAAAAAACAAAUUGUUCAUAGUAAAUGAGCACUACCGCAUUGUGUGAUUCACGUGAUUUCAGUUAUAGGUUGACCUGAAUCCAAUCCCAUUUCAAAUGCAGUGAAUGGUUUCUGUCUUGAGGUGGUGGUAAAAGGAGAAAUAUGUGAGAUUGAGUUCAUGACAUCUUCAUUACUGCACUGCUAAAAACCUUACAGUAAAAAUCAUCCUCUUACAUGUCUAUGAGACCGCAGAAUUAAUGCAUAUGAAGAGCUGAGACAUGUAAUCCUUCAUGCUAAUUCAAUAAAAACACGGUUAAUUACUUGUCUGUAAAGGAAAGUUCUCUUUUUGCUUUUCCAUUUAUGUUCUAAUCUUCAUUUAAGACCUGAACCCUUAAUUAGGAAUUAAGAAUGAAGCCUUGUAGUUAGGAGUGUGAUAAAAUUUUUUGUCCAAGUGUCUUGCAGAUGGAAAUAUUUUUCAUGAGAAUUCUUUGCUGGGUUGAAUAAGUCUGAGAUGGGGGUCAACGUGGUCCAUUCCUGUCCAGAACUCAUCACAGAUAAGCUGUUUCCCUGCUUAAUGCACAGCUGCAGAACAGGAAAGGUAUUUUCAAAGGAGUUAAAUGGUGUGUGACUGCAGGAGGCAGCUACAAUGAGCUGAAGUUUGGCGGAGGAACAAGGCUCAGUGUUAAAGCGAGUAAGUGCAUGAUCUGAACAAAUGAUUUUGAGAACAGCUGGCAAAUGUGGUGCUUGGAAAUGGUACUACAUCAUGAUCCUGGUAAGGGGACCUUUUUCCACAUCCUCUACUUUUAGGGCGGGAAUGAAUGUGUGCUGGAACUUUUAGUUCAAGGCCUACCAAGAGAAGUGGUGAAGUCUGUACUUAGCACUCCGAAAGUACGAAGAAACAUAUGGAUAUGACAUUUAGUGGUGAAUUUAGUAGUGGUAGGUUGGUGGUUGGGCUUGAUCUUUUCCAACCUAACUGAUUCUACUAUUCUAUUUUGACGACUCCAGUCCCCAGACACAAGACCUUUUUUUUUUGUAAAGGAGAUUCUGACUGCGUAUAUUCAGGAAAUGCAAACAGACUCAGCUUUGGAAGAGGAACUAGGCUGCUGGUGAAGCACAGUAGGUACCUUUUCACAAGUACAAUCACCUGAAAACAGAGUCCUUAGUUUGCUGUUUUUGUUUGUUUGCAGUACGUUCUCCUUAAAAUACAGAGGGAAGGACUUCUAUAAAAUGAAAAGGGAAGAGGGCACAGGGAAGAAGUGCACAUUCUAAAUAAUUCACCUGUAACUUCUCUGUCCCCUUGCUGUGAUUGCAACUAAUCAGAGUUACUACUGUUCUGCUAAAAUACAUGAAUUACCUCUGUGUUGUGGAAAUAUCGUGUUGGUCAGAGCGAACCCUAGAGGAAGAUCUGUUUGAGAUGAGGGUUCAUAAUCAAGUUCUGUUAGGUGAAACUGCCUUCUGAGACUUAGGUCUAUUUUGGAUCCCUCACCUGACUUACUGCCCACUGAAUAAACAAGAAAAAAUAGGGUGUCAAUCCUUUUCCCUGGGAUUUUCCUUCCGUUUGGUUUAUCAUGGCUUCUUUCUUUGUGACUCUUUCUUUAUGUUGCUUAUCUUCUGAGACCAAGAGUGAAGGAGUAUAUCCAGAUUUCCCAGUGAGAGAAGCACUGAAAGCUGCUAUGUUGUUCAAAAUAACUGCUGGAAAUUCCACUCCGUUAAAGCUGUAUCUAACAGUGUGUUCAGGCUUCUAAAUGGUCAGACUUGUCUCCCCCAAGUUUUCCUGGCAAAUUUUUUGCAUAGGUGUUUACAAGCAUGGGAAAGCUGGAUCUACCUGGAAAGUCACCUUUGGGAGAAGCACCAAACUAGUGCAUCUUAAAAAAAAGACACAUUUUUUCAGUAUUAACUUAAGGCUGAGAUUUUCCUGUCAAUCCUUUUCAGGGCCGGUGUGUGAGAGGGGAUAUUGGAGAUGACUCAUCAAUGGUCAUCUUUGUCCUGUAUCAUAUAGUUCAUGCUCCAUCACAGCUUACAAAUGUCAGCCUCCUCUGAGGGUGACAGUGUUCCUUCUCUCUGAGCUGAGAGGUUUCUGUAAAGCAGGCUGUGACUGUGGCAAUAUGGAGGCUCAGGUUUUGCUGGCAAGCUCACCUUUGGGCACGGCAGCAGACUGUCUGUGAAACCCAGUGAGUACCUCUUAGUUACCUGCACAUGUUAAACUGAGCUGCUGAGGUGGGGCAGGCGGUCAUUAAGGUGAAGUUCAGGCUGUCCCGAAGGAACAUUUACGUGCUCCCAGAGGGUCCCUGUGAAGUUACUAGCACGGCAUUCCUGAGGCCACACUGUCUGCUCAGAGCUCCCCGCUGCUGCUUG